UACAGAGGGUGCGAGCGUUAAUCGGAUUUACUGGGCGUAAAGCGUGCGUAGGCGGCUUUUUAAGUCGGAUGUGAAAUCCCUGAGCUUAACUUAGGAAUUGCAUUCGAUACUGGGAAGCUAGAGUAUGGGAGAGGAUGGUAGAAUUCCAGGUGUAACGGUGAAAUGCGUAGAGAUCUGGAGGAAUACCGAUGGCGAAGGCAGCCGUCUGGCCUAAUACUGACGCUGAGGUACGAAAGCAUGGGGAGCAAACAGGAUUAGAUACCCCAGUAGUCC
rnacentral:rRNA from 1 species